AAAAAAGUUUAUGUGAUUAUUUAAGUUCAAAAUGAUCCACAUCAACUUACUAUAUCUUGGACUUUUUUGUGUGUGACGGAGUCUCACUCUGUUGCCCAGGCUGGAGUGCAGUGGCGGGCGCCAUCUCGGCUCACUGCAACCUCCGCCUCCCGGGUUCAAGCAAUUCUCCUGCCUCAGCCUCCUGAGUAGCUGGGAUUACAGGCAUCUGCCACCAUACCCAGCUAAAUUUUGUAUUUUUAAUAGAGACGGGGUUUCACCAUGUUGGCCAGGCUGGUCUCGAACUCCUGACCUCAAGUGAUCCACCCACCUCGGCCUCCCAAAGUGCUGGGAUUACAGGAGUGAGCCACCACGCCCAGCAAGACAUUUUAAAAAACAUUUUUUCCCUUGUGUAUGUCACACAAAGGGUAGAGACUUUGAAAAGGGCAACUUCACUUUCAGCAAAUGUGCUAGCCAAAACAUACCUUUUAAGACAUAAAAUAUGAAUGCAGUACUUAGUGUAGUUGAUAAGGUGGUAGACAGUUUGGUUGAUUUGUCUUUUCUAUUUUUCCCUUCUCUAUUUGGUUAUUAAGUAAUAUGUAAAUAGGUAGACCAUUUGCAGUGUUCUCUUAUGAUAGUAAGAUAGUGCCAUUAGAGUGCAAUGAAAUGUUGCACCACCACACCACCCUACCUUUGCAAUUUAUAUAAGUGCAUGUCACUAGAAUGACUGUUGGCAUUUAUCAGCUAAGUUCUGAAUGGCUUGUGCAGUUGAGGUCUCUGAGAGGUCACUCCAUCCCCUUAAAGUGGUAGGUUUCCAUUUCCAUCAUCAGGAUAGAGGUAGGAGUUCACACAAGAAAUGAGACACCAGGAUGUUGACUUCAAGCAGACAGGAAAGGAGAUUACUUUUCCUAGCCCUCAUUCUCUGGGGUUUGAAUGCUAAAUUGCUUACCAGUACUCUAAGUAAAAAGAGAAAGAUAACUUCUGCCAUGUGGUAGCAUGCUUGGAACAUUCCCUCUUGGAAUCCAAUCUAUUUGGAGAAGCCACAUGGAGAACAACUGAGACCCAUCAGUUAACAACCCCAGCUGAAUUCCCAGCCAACAACCAGCACCAACUACCUGCCAUUACAUGAGUAAGCCAUCUUGAAUAUUCCAGCCUUCAGAUAACAACAGCGCUAGCUGUUGGGGGUGCAGAAUUGAACAUGGGUCUAGUUAACCUACACAGAGUCUUGGGUUGUUUCUAUAUAGAAGAGACAUAAAGCCAAAACAUCAGGUGAAAGAGAUUAUCUAGUUUUAUUCCUGACCAUAUUACUUUUUUGGGGGGUUCGGAGGGGGACCAUAUUCCUUUUAUUUGUUCAGAGUAAAAACUUUAAAAAUGUUCCAGCCUGGUCACAGUAUGCUGAAAUCCAGAGUACCCAUAAUUGGGCCUGCAUGUUAAAGAGGGUGAGGUGAUACCCCCAUAUUUAGCCAGAGAUUUUCAAGGGACAGGGGAAUUUUGUGGGAUCACAUUUGGGGUUAUAAGGUCCACAAGGAAUUUUCCAAGGAGGUUUUUCCCUUUGUUGCUGAGAAGACCUGGGUUUAAUUUUAUUAAAGGAAAUAUCCAUUUCCUUACAGAAACUCCAUAUGAUUUUCUUUGCUAAGAAAUAUGUACAAGCUCAACUCCACUAAUAAAGGAAUGUAAAUUAAGAUAGUUUGAGAUAACAUUGUUGCCUUUCUCAUUGCAAAUAUUUAUAGUAUCCAGUGUUGCCAAAGGGGAAAUGUACACUCUUAUUUACUGCAAAUGUACAACAUCACUGAGAGGCAUUAAUACACUGCACUUCCACUCUUAAGGAUAUAUCCCAGGCGUAACCAGGUAGCUCAAAGGUACAGUUAAAAUCAUUUUCAUUUUAGAAUUAUUUAUAAUUUCAAAAACUUAGAAACGAUCUAAAUGUCUAAUACACACAAAGAGAAGUUGUACAUUCUGGUUCUUCCAUACAGUGGGCAUUGGAGGUAGUUAAUGGACAUGGAAAAGUUUCAUGACAUAUUCAAUCAAGGGACUCAGCCC
rnacentral:lncRNA from 10 species